rnacentral:rRNA from 1 species
CGGCGGUGUAUCUCGCCAACCCCUGUGACAUACCUUUAUGUUGCCUCGGCGGAUCAGCCCGCGCCCCGUAAAACGGGACGGCCCGCCGCAGGAACCACAAAACUCUGAUUUUAGUGUAACUUCUGAGUCUAAAAAACAAAUAAAUCAAAACUUUCAACAACGGAUCUCUUGGUUCUGGCAUCGAUGAAGAACGCAGCAAAAUGCGAUAAGUAAUGUGAAUUGCAGAAUUCAGUGAAUCAUCGAAUCUUUGAACGCACAUUGCGCCCGCCAGUAUUCUGGCGGGCAUGCCUGUUCGAGCGUCAUUUCAACCCUCAAGCCCCCGGGUUUGGUGUUGGGGAUCGGGCUGUACUCCAGCCCGGCCCCGAAAUCUAGUGGCGGUCUCGCUGCAGCCUCCAUUGCGUAGUAGCUAACACCUCGCAACUGGAACGCGGCGCGGCCAAGCCGUUAAACCCCCAACUUCUGAAUGUUGACCUCGGAUCAGGUAGGAAUACCCGCUGAAAAAAACCAUAUCAAUAAGCGAA